rnacentral:misc_RNA from 1 species
AGGAACCGGAUGCGGGAAAACUGCACGUCCGGGUCUGUGCGGGGGGUGCCCGGUGACGGGCAUUCCUACCGCAAA